AUUAAACGCUGGCGGCAUGCCUUACACAUGCAAGUCGAACGGCAGCACGGGGCAACCUGGUGGCGAGUGGCGAACGGGUGAGUAAAGCAUCGGAACGUGCCCUGGAGUGGGGGAUAACGUAGCGAAAGUUACGCUAAUACCGCAUAUUCUGUGAGCAGGAAAGCAGGGGAUCGCAAGACCUUGCGCUCUGGGAGCGGCCGAUGUCGGAUUAGCUAGUUGGUGGGGUAAAGGCCUACCAAGGCGACGAUCCGUAGCGGGUCUGAGAGGAUGAUCCGCCACACUGGGACUGAGACACGGCCCAGACUCCUACGGGAGGCAGCAGUGGGGAAUUUUGGACAAUGGGCGCAAGCCUGAUCCAGCCAUGCCGCGUGAGUGAAGAAGGCCU
rnacentral:rRNA from 1 species